rnacentral:rRNA from 1 species
AUUGAACGCUGGCGGCAGGCCUAACACAUGCAAGUCGAGUGGAUGAAGAGAGCUUGCUCUCUGAUUUAGCGGCGGACGGGUGAGUAAUGCCUAGGAAUCUGCCUGGUAGUGGGGGAUAACGUUCCGAAAGGAACGCUAAUACCGCGUACGUCCUACGGGAGAAAGCAGGGGACCUUCGGGCCUUGCGCUAUCAGAUGAGCCUAGGUCGGAUUAGCUAGUUGGUGAGGUAAUGGCUCACCAAGGCGACGAUCCGUAACUGGUCUGAGAGGAUGAUCAGUCACACUGGAACUGAGACACGGUCCAGACUCCUACGGGAGGCAGCAGUGGGGAAUAUUGGACAAUGGGCGAAAGCCUGAUCCAGCCAUGCCGCGUGUGUGAAGAAGGUCUUCGGAUUGUAAAGCACUUUAAGUUGGGAGGAAGGGCAGUAAGUUAAUACCUUGCUGUUUUGACGUUACCGACAGAAUAAGCACCGGCUAACUUCGUGCCAGCAGCCGCCGUAAAAC